rnacentral:rRNA from 1 species
GAUGAACGCUGGCGGCGUGCCUAAUACAUGCAAGUCGAGCGAACGGACGAGAAGCUUGCUUUUCUGAUGUUAGCGGCGGACGGGUGAGUAACACGUGGAUAACCUACCUAUAAGACUGGGAUAACUUCGGGAAACCGGAGCUAAUACCGGAUAAUAUUUUGAACCGCAUGGUUCAAUAGUGAAAGACGGUCUUGCUGUCACUUAUAGAUGGAUCCGCGCUGCAUUAGCUAGUUGGUAAGGUAACGGCUUACCAGGGCAACGAUGCAUAGCCGACCUGAGAGGGUGAUCGGCCACACUGGAACUGAGACACGGUCCAGACUCCUACGGGAGGCAGCAGUAGGGAAUCUUCCGCAAUGGGCGAAAGCCUGACGGAGCAACGCCGCGUGAGUGAUGAAGGUCUUCGGAUCGUAAAACUCUGUUAUUAGGGAAGAACAUAUGUGUAAGUAACUGUGCACAUCUUGACGGUACCUAAUCAGAAAGCCACGGCUAACUACGUG